AUCGAACGCUGGCGGCAGGCCUAAAACAUGCAAGUCGAACGAGUGGCGGACGGGUGAGUAAUGUAUGGGAAACUGCCUGAUGGAGGGGGAUAACUACUGGAAAAGGUAGCUAAUACCGCAUACCAUCGGAUCAGCCCAGAUGGGAUGAGCUAGUAGGGGGGGUAAAGGCUCCCCUGGGCGACGAUCCCUAGCUGUGCUGAGAGGAGGACACGCCACACUGGGAGUGAGACACGGUCCAGAGUCCUACGGGAGGCAGCAGUGGGGAAUAUUGCACAAUGGGCGCAAGCCUGAUGCAGCCAUGCCGCGGGUAUGAAGAAGGCCUUCGGGUUGUAAAGUACUUUCGGCGGGGAGGCGUUACCCGCAGAAGAAGCACCGGCUGACUCCGUGCCAGCAGCCGCGGUAAUAC
rnacentral:rRNA from 1 species